rnacentral:rRNA from 1 species
UACAUGAGUGGCAAGCGUUAUUCUUCGUAGCUGGGUGUAAAGUAUAUUAUGUAAAAAAACAAACUUUAUUGUUUUUUUUAAAUUUUUAUUUAAUUGUUAAUUUUUUAACUAAAAUAGCGUGUAAAUGCAAAAACUUUAGUGUAAAAUCCAUAUAUAUAUUGACAUUAAAUAUAAAACUCUAUAUAUGAAAGCUUAGACAUCGAUAAGGGUUUCGAACCUAGUAGACUGAGCUGUAAAAAAUGGGACACUUUCUAACGAUUAAUGUCCCCACCGGUGUAGUAAAAUCGCAAGAUUGGAACUUAAAAUAAUUGGCGGGGCUUUCAAUAAACAGUGGAACAUGUGGUUUAAUUCGAUAAUCCUCGCAUAACCUUACCUAUAUAUUAAAAAGUUGUUACUGCAUGGCCGUCUUAAGUUCAAAUUUUGAAAUUUAUAAAAUUAAUUUUUUUAUUUUUGAACGAAAUUCUUGUUAAUAUACAGAAAUAAGUCAGGUCCUUAUGGUUCAAUUAUAUAGGGCUACACACGUGUUAUAAAGUUUGUUACAAAAAUGAUUUAAAUAGAAAUAUUUAAAAAAAAAAAAACAAACGUAGUUCAAAAGGUAUUUUGAAAAAUAUAUCUUUAGUAAAAAUUGUUAGUAAAUGCAGAAUAAUAAGCUGUAUUGAAUGAUUAUAAAAGCUUGUACACACUGCCCAUCACACACAGAGAAUUCAUUGGUCCUAAUCACUUGGUGAAUAUUUUUUUUAAAAAAUUUUUUGGCGUUUGAAAAAUAAACGAAAAUUAAGCCGUACAGUAAAUGCUAGUGAGUUAUUUGGGUUAAGUUG